rnacentral:misc_RNA from 1 species
GAUGAAGAACGUAGCGAACGUGCGAAACGUAAUGUGAAUUGCAGAAUUCAGUGAAUCAUCGAAUCUUUGAACGCACAUUGCGCCCCUUGGUAUUCCAUGGGGCAUGCCUGUUCGAGCGUCAUUUGUACCUUCAAGCUCUGCUUGGUGUUGGGUGUUUGUCUCGCCUCUGCGUGUAGACUCGCCUCAAAACAAUUGGCAGCCGGCGUAUUGAUUUCGGAGCGCAGUACAUCUCGCGCUUUGCACUCAUAACGACGACGUCCAAAAGUACAUUUUUACACUCUUGACCUCGGAUCAGGUAGGGAUACCCGCUGAACUUAAGCAUAUCAAUAAGCGGAGGA